rnacentral:rRNA from 1 species
UACGGGGGGGGCAAGCGUUGUUCGGAAUUACUGGGCGUAAAGGGCUCGUAGGCGGCCAACUAAGUCAGACGUGAAAUCCCUCGGCUUAACCGGGGAACUGCGUCUGAUACUGGAUGGCUUGAGAUUGGGAGAGGGAUGCGGAAUUCCAGGUGUAGCGGUGAAAUGCGUAGAUAUCUGGAGGAACACCGGUGGCGAAGGCGGGUCUCUGGGCAGUAACUGACGCUGAGGAGCGAAAGCGUGGGGAGCGAGCAGG